rnacentral:rRNA from 1 species
GAUGAACGCUGGCGGCGUGCCUAAUACAUGCAAGUCGAGCGGAUGGAUUAAGAGCUUGCUCUUAUGAAGUUAGCGGCGGACGGGUGUGUAACACGUGGGUAACCUGCCCAUAAGACUGGGAUAACUCCGGGAAACCGGGGCUAAUACCGGAUAGUAUUUUGAACUGCAUGGUUCAAAAUUGAAAGGCGGCUUCGGCUGUCACUUAUGGAUGGACCCGCGUCGCAUUAGCUAGUUGGUGAGGUAACGGCUCACCAAGGCAAUGAUGCGUAGCCGCCCUGAGAGGGUGAUCGGCCGCACUGGGACUGAGACACGGCCCAGACUCCGACGGGAGGCAGCAGUAGGGAAUCUUACGCAAUGGACGAAAGUCUGACGGAGCAACGCCGCGUGAGUGAUGAAGGCUUUCGGGUCGUAAAACUCUGUUGUUAGGGAAGAACAAGUGCUAGUUGAAUAAGCUGGCACCUUGACGGUACCUAACCAGAAAGCCACGGCUAACUACGUGCCAGCCGCCGCGGUAA